AGUUAAUCAGUGUAUAUGGCUCCACAUGCAAUGAACCACUAUUUUAACUUGCAUUUUUAGGACCUAGCUCUUCUCCUCAUCUUCAUUGGCUCUUGAAAAAACUUGUUUUGACACACCAAAGCAUUAAAUUUAAGUUGUCAGUAGUAACAUGAUAAUUCUCUUAUAUCUUGCAAGCCUGUACUAAGGCCUCCAUGGACUGCCACAUUUUUCAAUUUAUAGCAUUGUAUCUAAUGCUUUUAGUUUCCUGGCUUGAGACAGAAAGGUGAAAAAGUAAUGGAAGAAUGGUGCACAAGGGCAUUAAGGUUAUAUUAGGGAUGCUUCAUAUUUUGUUAUUAAUUCUCAGUGCUUGACAUGGUAGUUUAAAAACCGGCAAGGGAGCAUAGAGGUAGCAUGUCAUUUAGCAGCAUGGGAGAUGAUAACUAAGCCCAUAGAUCACCUGCUCCUAGUGUCUGAAGUCAAGAGGGGCACAACUCACGUGCCUUUACUGACUGAUGGGACUAAAGAGAGUUUUCAGACAAAGCUUAGUAAAAAUAUUUGUCCCAGAGUAUUGGCACUGCAUAACUAAUGCGUGACACACAUCAAUGUGUGUUGGCUACUAUAAAGGUAACAGAUGUCUCUAUGACAGGUUAGCAAGAAAAAAAAAAAAACCUGUAUAUAAACAGGUGUAAAAGAGAACGGCAUAAAGAAAUUUGGAAAUGUUUCCUCCCAGCCUGCGGUUCUUACCAAUGCAGGUGGAAGGAAAGACUGGAUUAUCUUCUCUUAGGUUGGAGUAGGCAGUUUUGCAUGUUGAAUAGCUAACAGCAUUUCAUAGCUGUGUGAGAGUCAAAGAAAAAAAUUCCACAUUUUCCUCCUCGCUUGCAGAAGCAUAAAGUCCCCUUGUGUGACUCAGACUGCCUUGAUCAUCCAUCAAUGUUGCCGUCCACUCUGUUUUAAAUAGGAGUGCUUCAGAAGAAGCGGCCUAUUCUUCAAAUUGACAUUUAGGACUGUUAAGAAUACCACAAUGACUUCACUUAGCUUUUUUUUUGGAUACUGCUUUUCUUGAUCACUAAAGUCACCCUGAGCAACAAUGAAAUUAAAGACAUUCAUUUAGAGAAUCUGCUUAUAUAAGCUUAAAUUUUGCUUCAACAGUCUUUAGGUUGAGGUCGUAUUUCUCAAACUUGAGAAAUCACAGACACCAGGAGAGUAUCUUCAAACCUCCAGAAGUCCAUGGAUGCUAAGGUGGUAAAGUCUGUAUUCACAAUAAUGAAAUAAUGCUUGAGAACAAGAACAACAAGGUUUAUAAAAGUCUGAGGGAAGACUACACGAGGGGACCACUGCACCGGGCAGUCAGCAGACACCUGAGGCUCACUGUGCUGCCACGUGUCUCUGGGAACGGUCCCUCUGCAACUCCCUACCCCAACCCUUUCACU